GACGAACGCUGGCGGCGUGCUUAACACAUGCAAGUCGAGCGGAAAGGCCACUUCGGUGGUACUCGAGCGGCGAACGGGUGAGUAACACGUGAGUAAUCUGCCCUUGGCUUUGGGAUAGCCACCGGAAACGGUGAUUAAUACCGGAUACGACCACUUCUCGCAUGGCAUGGUGGUGGAAAGUUCUUCGGCCAGGGAUGUGCUCGCGGCCUAUCAGCUUGAUGGUGAGGUAACGGCUCACCAUGGCUUCGACGGGUAGCCUGCCUGAGAGGGUGACCGGUCACACUGGGACGGAGACACGGCCCAGACUCCUACGGGAGGCAGCAGUGGGGAAUAUUGGACAAUGGGCGGAAGCCUGAUCCAGCAACGCCGCGUGAGGGAUGACGGCCUUCGGGUUGUAAACCUCUUUCGGUGGGGACGAAGCGCAAGUGACGGUACCCACUAAAGAAGCACCGGCCAACUACGUGCCAGCAGCCGCCGUAACAC
rnacentral:rRNA from 1 species